rnacentral:miRNA from 1 species
UGGGCAGCAGAACCCAGCAGACAUGAGAUCCUUCCUUGUUGACCAUGGUCCUUCUGUGUCUCCUGCAG